UUGCUCCGAGUUUAGGCUCGACUCUUGAGGAUCUUUACGGUCUUGCAGGUGAAAACAGGGUCAUUUCUUCUAUAUGUGACCUCUAUUCUUUGAAUGCCCAUAAUAGCAAAAGACCAAUCCAACCUUCAAGGUAGCGGCAGAGCAAAUAUUUCAAGAAAAUAUGAGAACCAAAAUCCAUGAAAGAGAUACUUGGAAUGAAAAAGUAAUUAAGGAUAAAAUAAUGGGAUUUUUACACAAAUAGUCGGCCAUAUUAAUUGUUUACUCUUUCUAGUCAUAUACAUAGAUUAUACAUUGAUUAUACAUAAUUAUACACAUGUAAUACAUAUAUUAUAUGCAUUCACCGGCUAUUUUUAGUUUAAGUGGUAGGAUUGGCGGCUAUUUAUAGUUUGCGGUCUAAGUAGUAGUUCCUUACCUGUUUGACUUAUAUAACUAUCACUUAUAAAAUAAUAUCACAUUAGAACAUGUAUCUCUUUGAUUCCAAGCAGUAGGUAGUUAGCACAGAAACCUAUAAUUUCCUACAUCAAAGCAAAAGCUAAGAAAAUUUUUAAAAGUAUAGUCAGAAGAAAAGAUGACCAACUCUAUAUCAAAAUGUAGAAAGGGCCACACAAAUCAUUCAGAAACAGAAUCUGAUUGUUAUUUGAUCAUGAAAGCAUGAAUUUGCAUGCACGAAAUAAUUGAAACUUGAUCCACAUCCAUAUGUCAACUUGAGGCAUCAUUAUUUCCCUAAAAUUGGAGAAUGAAACACAAUUUGGAAGGAUUUAACUCACAACAGCUUCAUUUCCUUUUCAAACUCUCUCAAGUUACAUAGAAAACCAAGUUAUUACUUAGUUUUCAGCUUAGCCUCAUUUGAAGGAGCCUAAAGUUUCUGCAAAGAACCAAUAGUUAUUCAAAACAAUCUCGCUAACAAUCUAUGUAUUGUCCCUGAUUUAUAAAUGUGACACCAUAAGGGAAGAAAGAGUAAUCUUAAACUACGUAGACUACUCAAC
rnacentral:lncRNA from 1 species